rfam:Sorghum bicolor cultivar BTx623 chromosome 10, whole genome shotgun sequence.
GUAGUCGGAUUCACAUCAAUCCACAUGUGUUGGUGUGGGUUGGAAUGUAACUUUAACUAAAUUUCACCCUAAUCUACUCCAACACAUGUGGAUUGAGGUGAAUCCGACA